AUGCUGGCUGCUGAAUGGUGCUGGCCAUCAUCAGCUUUUGUUUACUUCAUCCUCCGUGUGAAGAUAGCAGCUGUUUCUUUCAGUAAAAAAGAAGUAAAAGAAUGUAGCGACCUACCUCACAUUUCCCCCCUCCUCCUCCAAAUGUUUGUGGAGCCCAACAGCUGUCUUUGCAAAUCCUGCCACUCAGGAUUGCAAUGGCUGUACAUAAUCAAGCAUGGAGUGCUGAAGCUGAGAUUGUUGGCUGGCUCCAGGAGGCAGAGCAACAAACUGAUCCCAGCAUGUGUCUUGGUAUCUCACCCACAAGGAUUCAUGAAUGAGAUCUUCAGGUCCAGGACCCAUACUCACUGCGCAGAGAGUCUGGUAGUUGGCGAGCAACUUGGAAGGAAGAAUUCAGCAACUCACAGAGGUUGUGAAGCCAGAGGUUGCAUUUCAUGGCAUAGUGGCUGGGGUAUUUGAUUCUCUUUCUGUAGUGGAAAUUCCCACCAAGCCUGUGGUGACCAAAAGGGAAGAGAAAGUUACUUACAUGUCUGGGCCCACUGGGCCAUCUCCUUUGACCCCUGAUAUGUGCACAAGUACUCAGGUACCACGAGAGUUCCAGCUCUCCAGCAGAAAGCUGGGCAUCGUUAAGCGUUACCCAAGAUCCAGAGAUAAUUUUCUUCCUUGCAUCCUCCAUGUUUCCCUUCACACCAUUUGUCAAGAUUCAGAUGCCAUCGUUACCUGGAUGCAGACCUGUUUCUUGGGCAUAGAGGAGAGCCACAGCACAGGCAACACCGGGUGAGAAUCACCUUUGGAACACCACGCGGUAAAGGAAUUCAUGUCGCUCAACACAGACCGCUUAAUUCACCUGCAAGGACAACAGAACCUUGGAUUUUGCCCUACUUUAAGAGGAGGUCUCUCUGUGUAUUUGUGUGUGUACAUGCCUGUGUGUGCAUGUUGGUUAUGCUGCUGAAAAAGAAGAAAGUUCGUUGCCGGAAACUGUCCAGAGUUACAGGAAUUCAUGUCACUUAACAUUUUGCCCUACUUAAGAGAAGGGAGGGGUGUGUGUGUGUGUGUGUGUGAGUGAGUGUGUGAAUGCAUGCCUGUGUGUUCAUGUGUGUUAUGCUGGUGAAAAAGAAGAAAACUCAUUGCCAGAAACUGUCCAGGAAUCUUCACCAGCAUAAAACUAAAACCUUGGUGGAAACGGCUCACAGGCAGUCCAGACAAAGUGCUGGUGUCGGAUCUCUUCUGAGUGAGCAGAGAAAGAGACGUGUGGGGCUGUGACGUCUGAGACAGAGGGAGGAGUCAGGCCCAGGGGAGAGGAAGAGAAGGGAGGUGGAUGGCUGUGCGGCUUUAUCAGGGGUUUCCAUCCACAGCCAAAACGGACCAAGAAGAGAAGAGAAAAGGAGACCGAAACCUUUGAGUCCUGCUCAGUCGUGACUGAAUGUUUUAUAAAAGCACAUCUCUCUUGUUUACAAGG
rnacentral:lncRNA from 1 species